ensembl:snRNA U4 U4 spliceosomal RNA
AGCUUUGUGCAGUGGCAGUAUCGUAGCCAAUGAGGUUUAUCUGAGGCGCGAUUAUUGCUAAUUAAAAAUCACCAAAUAUGUCAACAUCACUGAUCAAUUAUUAAUGAAAUGUAAAUCAAAAAUGUCAUGAGGUA